UACGGAGGGUGCAGGCGUUAUCCGGAUUCACUGGGUUUAAAGGGUGCGUAGGAGGGCAGGUAAGUCAGAUGUGAAAGCCCCGGGCUCAACCUGGGAAUUGCAUUUGAGACUGCGUAGCUAGGGUGCGGAAGAGGGAAGCGGAAUUUCCGGUGUAGCGGUGAAAUGCGUAGAUAUCGGAAGGAACACCAGUGGCGAAAGCGGCUUCCUGGUCCAGCACCGACGUUCAGGCACGAAAGCGUGGGGAGCAAACAGG
rnacentral:rRNA from 1 species